GGCGAGGAAGAGGCCUCUUUGUUUGCAAUGGACAUAUUUAAGAUGCAAGUUUCUACAACAUGACCUGUUUGAUCAUAAUUCUUGCUUAUGGAGGACCCGUGAAGAAUUGCAACCUUGUUUGAAUCACACAGGUAUGACAGAUGCUUACAGAAGAAAGGUUGGAAAUUUGAUGUUGUAGAUGUAACAGAGUCUGAUCUGAGAGGAUACAAGGUGUGUCUUCCAUCCUGUGAAUUUUCAUCCUUAAGUAAAUCAAACAAGAUAGAGUGAUCUGUGGGCUGGGUGCUGUAUGCAUCAUCCGUUUUGGCUUUUCUUCCCUUAUGGUUGUUGUUUUGCCUUUUGAUCAUCGUGACGGAACAAAACUAAAGCACUGCUGUGUGCGAAGUUGUACGAAAUUGAAAGUUUAAAAAUUCAGAUGAGUCAAUAAAAACUUCCAUCAGAGUAGGUAAAAGUGACUGUAAGAUGAAUAUGAUCAAGUUUACCAUUGUUUUUGUUUCUUAUUUUCCGGAAUGAUGGAAGGAUCUUAUUAAUGUAAACUGAUCUGGAGUGGCAAUAGAUCAGAGCGUAUCCGUACUUACAAAUUCCCUCAAGGGAGUGUUACAGGUCAUCCUGUUAUCAUCACUCUUAUGCAAUAGCUGAUGUGAUGCAGGAAGAAAAUCUAGCUUUUUUCAUGGAUGCUCUUCUUUUCCUGCAGUAGAAAAUCAGAAGUAAAAAUGCAAGAAACUAAAGAUACAUACAUACGUACACAUAUAUGUGUAUACUUGUUUUCUAAUAACAAAUAAAUUUUCGCAUAAACAAUUUAACACAAAGGGGAAGAUAUAUAUAGUACGUAUCUACUGGGUCCCCAAAGUGCCUGGAUUGAAGGAGACAGGUGAGCAUAUCUGAAGAAAAAAAAAGUGGUUUAUGUGAGUGUUUUCACCUGCCAAGAUAUCGUUUCAUGAAAUUUCAGAUGGAAGGCAAAGCAACAACGACAAGUUUAUUUAUCCAGCGACUCUUUGCAUUGGAAGUCUAUCACAACCAAGCCUUUCCACCCAUGAAAAGGUCCAUGAAAAUGAUCCCUUUAGUGAAUUGUGAUUACCAAGCCCAUCUGCUAAUGUGUAAUACCUACUGCCCACAAAUUUCUUUUUUUUAUUCUUGCAAGGAAGAAAUUUUGGAAAAAGCUGAUUGGGUUAAGAUAAUAUCUAUCUGUUUUUUCCCCCCCCAUAAUUGGUGUAACCCUUAACUUAAACAAAAAUUACAUGCGAUGCAAUGUUUCCGGACCCAUUUGGUAUCCAAUGCUAGAAUUGGUUUUAAAAAAAAGAGAUUUUCUGUCUUGCAAGAAAUGGUUGAUGUAGUAUUUUGGUUUUGUCCCUUUUUUAUCAUUCAUUACCUGUUUUGGACCAAGAAGAUUAAACUUCUAUUAUUCUACACAGGGUUUAUUAUUAUAUUAUACUUUUGUGGUUGACCAGGAGCAAGGGGGCAGUUGUCUCUGACACAAAAGCACCUUAAAACAGACAGAAAGGGAAGAUUUACAGCUCUCAAGUCUCAACACAUAUAUCUGACAAUCCCGGAACUCAGGGGUGUUCAAGAGAAUUUAAACGAGCAUUCUGGUUCAAUGUAAAUUGAUCGUGGGGGGCAACAUCAUUCGGUCAAGCAGAUAGAUUUUAUGAAAGCUCAGGGGUAGUAAGCAUCCAAGGAAUGAACAAAGCUAGUGAAUCCGGUUUUGCUGCAUCAAUUCUAGAGCUGUGUAGAUCAUUUAUUAAGUUUGAUCAAUCACUACUUUGUAUAUCAGAAGUUACCAUUCAGCGUUAGGAUAGACCUUCCAAACUGUAAUUAAAUGAUUUUUGAACCUUUUAGUAGUAAUAAAUGGUAGUCUACAGUGUC